rnacentral:rRNA from 1 species
CCUACGGGUGACAGCAGUGGGGAAUAUUGCACAAUGGGCGCAAGCCUGAUGCAGCGACGCCGCGUGCGGGAUGGAGGCCUUCGGGUUGUAAACCGCUUUUGUUCAAGGGCAAGGCACGGUCUUUGGCCGUGUUGAGUGGAUUGUUCGAAUAAGCACCGGCUAACUACGUGGCAGCAGCCGCGGUAAUACGUAGGGUGCAAGCGUUAUCCGGAUGUGUUGGGCGUAAAGGGCUCGUAGGCGGUUCGUCGCGCCCGGUGGAAAAGUCAAUCGCUUAACGGGGGAUCCGCGCCGGGUCCGGGCGGGCUUGAGUGCGGUAGGGGAGACUGGAAUUCCCGGUGUAACGGGGGAAUGGGGAGAUAUCGGGAAGAACACCAAGGGCGAAGGCAGGUCUCUGGGCCGUUACUGACGCUGAGGAGCGAAAGCGUGGGUAGCGAACAGGAUUAGAUACCCGAGUAGUC